rnacentral:misc_RNA from 1 species
GAUGAAGAACGUAGCGAAAUGCGAUAAGUAAUGUGAAUUGCAGAAUUCAGUGAAUCAUCGAAUCUUUGAACGCACCUUGCGCUCUUUGGUAUUCCGAAGAGCAUGCCUGUUUGAGUGUCAUGAAAAUAUCAACCUUGACUUGGGUUUUGUGCUCUAGACUCGGCUUGGAAUUGGGUGCUUGCCGCUUUUACGAGCGGCUCACCUUAAAUGUAUUAGCUGGAUCUGUCUUUGAGACUUGGUUUGACUUGGCGUAAUAAGUAUUUCGCUAAGGACAUUCUUCGGAGUGGCCUCGUUUCUAGGACGCUUGUCCGCUUUCCAAUACAAGUUCCACCUCGUGGACAUGACUUUUUAUUAUCUGGCCUCAAAUCAGGUAGGACUACCCGCUGAACUUAAGCAUAUCAAUAAGCGGAGGA